rnacentral:rRNA from 1 species
UACGGGGGAUGCAAGCGUUAUCCGGAAUUAUUGGGCGUAAAGCGCCUGUAGGUUGUUUAUUAAGUCUGUUGUUAAAGACUAGGGCUUAACCCUAGAAAAGCAAUGGAAACUUGUAGACUAGAGUAUGGCAGGGGUAGAGGGAAUUUCUAGUGUAGCGGUGAAAUGCGUAGAUAUUAGAAAGAACACCAGUGGCGAAAGCGCUCUACUAGACCAUUACUGACACUCAGAGGCGAAAGCUAGGGUAGCAAAAGGGAUUAGAUACCCCUGUAGUCCUAGCCGUAAACGAUGGAUACUACAUGUUGUGCAAGCACAGUAUGGUAGCUAACGCGUUAAGUAUCCCGCCUGGGGAGUACGCUCGCAAGGGUG